AUUGAACGCUGCGGCAGGCUUAACACAUGCAAGUCGAGCGAGCGGCGGACGGGUGAGUAAUGCUUAGGAAUCUGCCUAUUAGUGGGGGACAACAUCUCGAAAGGGAUGCUAAUACCGCAUACUAAUAGAUGCGCCUAAGUGGGGUUAGCUAGUUGGGGGGGUAAAGGCCUACCAAGGCGUCGAUCUGUAGCGGGUCUGAGAGGCUGAUCCGCCACACGGGGACAUAUGAAAGGCCCAGACUCCUACGGGACGCAGCAGUGGGGAAUAUUGGACCAAGGGGGGAACCCUGAACCAGGCAUGCCGGGUGGUGGAAGAAGGCCUUAUGGUGGUAAAGCACUUUAAGCGAGGAGACGUUACUCGAAGAGUAAGCACCGGCUAACUCUGUGCCAGCAGCCGCGGUAAGAC
rnacentral:rRNA from 1 species